GCGCGUUAUUGGCCAGCCUCCGCCCACGCUCGCGCUCUCCCUUCAGCUCCGGGGUCAGGUCCUCGUCCUCCUCAUGGAUGCUGCUGUGCACGCAGAUGAGACAGGAACAUGAAUGGAUGCAUUUAGAUGGGUUUCGCUCAACCUCUAUGCAGUUAACAGGGUUUUACUCUAAGGAUAGACACAGCAGAGGGGUGUGGUGCCUUUCCGCAAUUAUUGAAACUGAGCUGCGGGAUGUAACCAGGGACGUGCGGUCCUAUGAGGCAGGUCUUUUGUGGGCGGGAUUCCGGGGGAGGAAAGAGGAGAGGGAUUGGCUGGUUCGCACCUAGCUGCUCCAAUCUGUGGAUCCAUACCAGAGCCAGGCCAGCCGCUCCUGCUAGGACUUAUGCAUGAUGUGGAAAAUAUGCAAGUGAGCUGAGCUAACCUGGAACUGUGGAAGAUGCUGCAUAAGAAGAUUACAGCCUGGAAGGAAGACUAGACUGGUUGGCCUUUCAUCCACUCUGACCUGAUUCCUCAACCUGACCCACAUCUCCUCUCACAGGACUUACACAGGGCUCAGUACGCACCACCAUCAUCAUCAUCAUCUUUAUUGCCAUUGUCAUCAACCUCAUCGCCGUAACCAUCAUCAUCAUCACCAUCCUCCUACUCACAUCAUCAUCAUUAUUAUUAUUUGUUGUUGUAGUUGUUAUUAUUAUUAUUUCCACCAUCAUUAUAUCAUAUGUUAAAUCAUAUGAUUACUUUUGGAGGAUGCCCAUAUAUCACCCUUACAUGUGAAAGCUACGUAUUUAAAUCAAUCUUAUAUAUUUUGUGAUAUAUACUAUUAUACUACUCAAUCAGAGUUGCAGACUAGUUAUUAUCAGGUCCUUGAGGUAAAAGGGGAGGUUCUGCACAUACUGUCACGUCAUGUUUCUACACCUAUAGAAGUCACAAGGAUUUGGAUUAAGGUAAUCCAUGCUGGACUUAAUCAAAUAAUCUGGUUAGCAUAAUAAUGAGGCAUGUUGAUUCUCAGCGGUGAAAAUGAUCUGUAUAUCCCUAACCUUUUUCAUUUGUAUUAAACUCAGAAUUUACCAAAUCACAUUUAGCAAAAUAACAUUUAGUUUGGUCAUGAAAUAAUGUAAGGACAUGUCUGACUGGAAUCCAUACGGUUCUCAAAAACAGAGCUCUAAUAAAAUGCAGAUGGCGAAUAUGAUGAAGCAGAAUUUCUCAGAAUGUCUCAUUCCGCAGCGUCUCCUUCCUCAUCGUCUCCUUCCUCAUCGCCUCCUUCCUCAGCGUCUCCUUCCUUAUCGCCUCCUUCCUCAUCGCCUCCUUCCUCAGUGCCUCUUUCAGCAGCGCCUUCUUGUGGUGACGCUUCAUGUCAGACAGGGUGAGCUCCUCCUAACAGCAUUGUCUCUGCAUCUUC